GAGGAAAGAGGGAGGCGUGCCUAAUACAUGCAAGUCGAGCGAACAGAUGAGGAGCUUGCUCCUCUGACGUUAGCGGCGGACGGGUGAGUAACACGUGGAUAACCUACCUAUAAGACUGGGAUAACUUCGGGAAACCGGAGCUAAUACCGGAUAAUAUAUUGAACCGCAUGGUUCAAUAGUGAAAGACGGUUUUGCUGUCACUUAUAGAUGGAUCCGCGCCGCAUUAGCUAGUUGGUAAGGUAACGGCUUACCAAGGCAACGAUGCGUAGCCGACCUGAGAGGGUGAUCGGCCACACUGGAACUGAGACACGGUCCAGACUCCUACGGGAGGCAGCAGUAGGGAAUCUUCCGCAAUGGGCGAAAGCCUGACGGAGCAACGCCGCGUGAGUGAUGAAGGUCUUCGGAUCGUAAAACUCUGUUAUUAGGGAAGAACAAAUGUGUAAGUAACUAUGCACGUCUUGACGGUACCUAAUCAGAAAGCCACGGCUAACUACGUG
rnacentral:rRNA from 1 species